CACGGGGGGGGCAAGCGUUGUUCGGAAUUACUGGGCGUAAAGGGCUCGUAGGUGGCCAACUAAGUCAGACGUGAAAUCCCUCGGCUUAACCGGGGAACUGCGUCUGAUACUGGAUGGCUUGAGUUUGGGAGAGGGACGCGGAAUUCCAGGUGUAGCGGUGAAAUGCGUAGAUAUCUGGAGGAACACCGGUGGCGAAGGCGGCGUCCUGGACCAGCACUGACACUGAUGAGCGAAAGCCAGGGGAGCAAACGGG
rnacentral:rRNA from 1 species